AAAACUAUUAACAACGGAAAUUGAAGUGUUUGGAAAGGGUGAAACCUCAAAGAAGAAGAAGAAGAAGAAAAACAAGGAAGAUGUUAGGGUUAGGGUGCUUAAACCUCAAUCGUUUUUCUCACUUUCCCUCCACUCCUGCUCUUCCACCCCCUGGUUCAGAUUUACUGAAGGUUGCUUCUAGGAGAUUUGCCUUAUCAGUAACUAAGACACAAUCCCCAAUCACUACGACACAACCUGCUUCAACCGCAGUAAUUGAAAUAGAUAAUCCGGCCAGUGUAAGAAGGCAGUUGGCCAAUCUGUUUGACUUGUCUCUGAGGGCAACGGUGCCUGAUGAAUCAGAUGUUGUGCCGUUAGUUGAUGCUUGCGCUGUAAAAGGCGGCGGUGUAAAAUUUGGAGAUUAUCAAUGUAAUAAUGCAAUGGGUAUAUGGUCUAAGAUAAAAGGAAAGCAGACCGGAUAUAAGGGUCCCCCAGCAAUUGGGCAGGCCAUCAUUAACAAUCUUCCUCCAUCUGAAAUGAUAGAUUCAUGCUCUGUAGCUGGUCCUGGAUUUGUCAAUGUUGUCUUGUCGAAGAAAUGGAUAGCACAGAUAUUACAGAGGAUGCUAGUGGAUGGUAUUGAUAGGUGGGCACCUCGACUUCCAGUCAAGAGGGCUAUGGUUGAUUUUUCCUCACCAAAUAUAGCAAAGGAAAUGCAUGUUGGUCACUUGAGAUCUACCAUUAUUGGUGACACAUUAGCUCGUAUGCUUGAAUUUUCACACGUGGAAUGUGUAAUCCGUAGAAACCAUAUUGGUGACUGGGGAACACAGUUUGGGAUGCUGAUUGCAUACCUCUUUGAGAAAUUUCCAAAUUCAAAAGAUGUUAGUGAAGCAGCCAUUGGAGAUCUUCAGGCACUCUAUAAGGCCUCAAAAGUUAGGUUUGAUAGUGAUCCUGAAUUUAAGCUGAGGGCACAACAGGCUGUGGUCCGCCUCCAGAGUGGAGAAAUUGAGUAUCGCAAGGCCUGGGAACAAAUUUGUGAUGUUAGUAGGGCUGAAUUCAACAAAGUUUAUCAACGCCUUGGAAUUCAAUUGGAAGAAAUGGGAGAGAGCUUCUAUAAUCCAUAUAUUCCUGGGGUUUUAGAGAAACUGGAUAAUUUAGGACUGAUUGAAGAUAGUGAUGGGGCUCGUGUGAUUUUUGUUGAGGGUGUAAACAUACCACUUAUUGCUGUGAAAAGAGAUGGUGGCUACAAUUAUUUUUCAACUGAUCUAGCAUCACUUUGGUAUCGUCUAAAUGAAGAAAAACUUGAGUGGAUUGUAUAUGUUACAGAUAUUGGGCAGCAGCAACACUUUGAUAUGCUAUUUAAGGCCUUUAGGCGUGCAGGUUGGUUGCCAAAAGAUGAGAAUGCAUUUCCAAAAUGUACUCAUAUAGGUUUUGGUCUUGUUCUUGGGGAUGAUGGGAAACGAUUUCGGAGUCGCAGCAGUGAGGUUGUUCGAUUGGUUGAUUUGCUUGAUGAAGCUAAAAGGCGCUGUAAAAUUGCCAUUCUCGAACGUGAUACAGCUAAAGAUUGGUCUGAGGAGGAGAUUGAGAAAACAUCUGAGGCAGUUGGUUAUGGGGCUGUUAAGUAUGCUGACUUGAAGAUCAACAGAUUUACAAAUUACACAUUCAAUUUUGAUCAGAUGCUUAAUGAUAAGGGGAAUACUGCUGUUUAUUUGCUGUAUGCACAUGCUAGGAUUUGUUCCAUCAUCAGGAAAUCUGGUAAAGACAUAGAAGAAGUAAAGAGAAAUGGUAAAAUAGUGUUGGAUCAUGAAGAUGAGCGUGCAUUGGGGCUUCAUUUGCUACAAUUUCCUGAGACUGAGAUAUCAAGAUUCAAGACUGAAGCGGCUGGGAUUCCUGCACAUUAUUUUACAAUCCAAAGAUACUUACCUCAUAUAUGGGUUUUUUGUUAGAGACGGACUUUUAUAUUAGCCAACAUGGAGGCACAUGCCUCAGUCAGUCUCAAAAUUUUUAAUACUAUUAUAGUAUUAGGUUGUCAUUUAAGUUUUAUCAUCUUUAACUUUGACCUCACCACUCAAAGGCUCCUCACCCAAAAUUUUCUGGCCUGUCAUUGCUUCAUUUACUGUUUUUUUUUCAGGUUUUUGAGGAGGCAUGCACCAAUUUGUUGCCCAAUCUGUUGUGUGAAUACCUGUAUAAUUUGGCAGAAAUCUUUUCGAAAAAAUUUUAUGCUAAUUGUCAGGUUGUUGGAUCGCCUGAGGAAACUAGUAGACUCUUGCUGUGUGAAGCAACGUUAAUUGUGAUGAGAAAGUGCUUUUAUCUCCUUGGAAUUGAGCCUGUUUACAAGUUAUGACCAUCUAAAGGAGUACAAGUGCAGUUUUUUUCACCAGACAUUUUUUAUAUGUACACAAUAGGAAGCUUCGAAAUUAAAAAUUUUCAGGCAAGUUAAAUUAUCUCUUCUAGGUCUUUCGUUUUGUUUAUUGUAUUUGAGGUGAAAAAAAGGAAAGUAGGGAAUAUUUUAUAGCAAUUUUGUUGACAAGGUCCCUUGAAAUUUAUUUCGAUGUUAUCAAGUCUAUAUUUCGUUUAACGUGUCCCAAGUAAAAUAAGAAAUGGGACAUUAUUGGAUUCUAGUGUUACCAAAUGAAAAAGGCAACUGUACCGAUCACUCUGCACUCUGAAUCUCAAAACAGGAUUAGUUUUGUUAAAGUUCGGAAUCAUGUUGUGGUAUUGAGCCUGCAAUUUCUUUUUGCAUGUUUAGUUUCUUGUUUUUUACACUUUACAAUUUAUUUCCUCAGUUUUGUUAUUUGAAUAUAAAAUAAAUUGAUACUGUAUAUGAUUAUAU